GAAAAACUGUCUGCAUGGCUCUUUCCUGGGCCAUAGUUUAGAACCUUGGAAUUCUGGGCAGGGGCAAGGAGAGAACAUGUGAGAUGGAGAUAUCUUCUGUGUUUCAACCCACUCCAGCUUCCCCCAAGCAGCUCUGAGGAGGCAGCUAAUUUUCUGCAAGCACUUGCUCCUUGCUGGCAGCAGGGGCUUGUUGAAACUUUUGCACAAAGCUGGGAGUUGCUGACAGUGACUUAAAACCCUCAGCUGAACAGGAUGGAAGAGAUCAAUACUGCACUGGGAGCUGGUGCUUGCUUUUCCCCACUUCAGGAAAGGUUCAUGCUACUGCAGCAGCUCUUCCAAGUCAGGCUGUCACUGCCCGACUGUGCCAGAGCUGCUGCAGGCUCCUUUUCAGCCCUAUGGAUUAGGAUAUCAGUUUUUUAACCACAAAGAGUUUUUCUCCUGUGUCUCGUCAUGAAUUGAUGCAAUAGAUCUGUAACUGCCUCAAGCAGCUGCUGCUGUGCCUGGUUUUCUGUGCAGGCUUGGGCUCUGAAACAAAAGGAUGGGGAAAGAAAAGAAGCUAAAAACUCUGGUUUGCUAAAGUAGCACCAAAUCAACAAGGAAGCUGCAUUUCAGCCUGGAUUAUUAUUUAGAGCCAUUUGUAAUCAGGAUUCUCUUACAGCAGCUCAAGCCAGCAGUUUGGCCUGUGUUAGAUGUGUAUGUACCAAUUAGUUUGUAUUAGGCUUAACCAUGGAGAAGUUCAUACAAUAGCCCUGAUGCAGUAAAGGCUGAAUCAAUAUGAAAUAGAGGUUGUUCCUGUAAAGAUUCAGGAAUGGAAACUUUACCACCACCACCACACCUACUUUCAGAACUGACACAUCACAAAGAAGUUGAGAAAUACCUUUCUGGCACAGUUUGAAGCUAACAUGCAUGACCCUGAGGGUGAGAAAUAGAUGGUAUUUGUUGGGACAACCACAUCUCCUCCGCUGGUGUGGUUCAGAAGGGAAGCUCUUACAUACUAUUAACUUCACAGUGAAAUUGAGAUAGUUUUGAUCCUACUUCUACAUAGACUUAGCUCAUGCUGUGCCCACAUCAGCUGAGAGCUGUUACAUGGGAUCUGACUUUUCCUCCACAUCCACUGAACCUUCAACCCACGCCAAGGACUGAGGCUGUACACACCCAGCCCAGGUUUUCCUUUGCAGUGCCACCCCCAGUUAAUGGGGUGCAAAGUGCCAGUGCUCCACAUCUCUUCAUGCACUGUUCCUUUUGCUCUAAACCCAAACUUCAUUUUUUCCUGCUGCAUUAUUUUGCAUAGGCAGCAUCUCUCAGGUCUCUGUUGCAUCACUGAGUUUGCUGGUAUUGGGUUUUACUCAAACAAUGUGUUCUGCCACAAAGGAGCAAGUUUGAGCAGGUUAGAGCUGUCCAGCCUGGCCGUGCAGGAACCAGUGACAAAUAAAGCUCCAUAAAUACA